rnacentral:rRNA from 1 species
AUUGAAUGCUGGCGGAAUGCUUUACACAUGCAAGUCGAGCGGCAGCGCGGGGCAACCUGGCGGCGAGCGGCGAACGGGUGAGUAAUGCAUCGGAACGUACCCAGUCGUGGGGGAUAACUGUCCGAAAGGACAGCUAAUACCGCAUACGUCCUGAGGGAGAAAGCGGGGGAUCGCAAGACCUCGCGCGAUUGGAGCGGCCGAUGCCGGAUUAGCUAGUUGGUAGGGUAAAGGCCUACCAAGGCGACGAUCCGUAGCUGGUCUGAGAGGACGACCAGCCACACUGGAACUGAGACACGGUCCAGACUCCUACGGGAGGCAGCAGUGGGGAGUUUUGGACAAUGGGGGCAACCCUGAUCCAGCCAUUCCGCGUGAGUGAAGAAGGCCUCGGUUGUAAG